UACGUAGGGUGCAAGCGUUGUCCGGAAUUAUUGGGCGUAAAGAGCUCGUAGGCGGUUUGUCGCGUCUGCUGUGAAAACGCGAGGCUCAACCUCGCGCCUGCAGUGGGUACGGGCAGACUAGAGUGCGGUAGGGGAGAUUGGAAUUCCUGGUGUAGCGGUGGAAUGCGCAGAUAUCGAGGAGGAACACCGAUGGCGAAGGCAGAUCUCUGGGCCGUAACUGACGCUGAGGAGCGAAAGCGUGGGGAGCGAACAGG
rnacentral:rRNA from 1 species